GAUGAACGCUGGCGGCGUGCCUAAUACAUGCAAGUCGAGCGAACGGACGAGAAGCUUGCUUCUCUGAUGUUAGCGGCGGACGGGUGAGUAACACGUGGAUAACCUACCUAUAAGACUGGGAUAACUUCGGGAAACCGGAGCUAAUACCGGAUAAUAUUUUGAACCGCAUGGUUCAAAAGUGAAAGACGGUCUUGCUGUCACUUAUAGAUGGAUCCGCGCUGCAUUAGCUAGUUGGUAAGGUAACGGCUUACCAAGGCAACGAUGCAUAGCCGACCUGAGAGGGUGAUCGGACACAGUGGACCUGAGGCGCGGUCCAGACGCCUACGGGGAGCAGCAGUAGGGAAUCUUACGCGAUGAGCGAAAGGCUGACAGUGCAGCAACGCGUGAGUGAUGAAAGACUUCGGAUCGGAAAGCUCUGUUGUUAGGGAGGAACAUAUGUGUAAGUAACUGUGCACAUCUUGACGGUACCGAAUCAGAAAGCCACGGCUAACUACGUG
rnacentral:rRNA from 1 species